UGAGCAAUCUGCCCUUCUCAUCGGAAUAAGCGUUGGAAACGACGUCUAAUGCCGAAUACGACCUCCUUUCGCAUGAUCGGAGGUGGAAAGCCCCGGCGGAGAAGGAUGAGCUCGCGGCCUAUCAGCUAGUUGGUGUGGGUAAUGGCCCACCAAGGCGACGACGGGUAGCCGGCCUGAGAGGGCGAUCGGCCACACUGGGACUGAGACACGGCCCAGACCUCCGUACGGGAGCAG
rnacentral:rRNA from 1 species